CUAAGCCAUGCGAGUCAUUGUAGCAAUACAAGGCGGACGGCUCAGUAACACGUAGUCAACCUAACUCGUGGACGUGGAUAACCUCGGGAAACUGAGAAUAAACCACGAUAGAUCAUAGUGCCUGGAAUGGCUUAUGGUCCAAACAGUUUACUGCCAUGGGAUGGGACUGCGGCCUAUCAGCUUGUUGGUGAGGUAAUGGCCCACCAAGGCGAUUACAGGUACGGGCUCUGAGAGGAGAAGCCCGGAGAUGGGUACUGAGACACGGACCCAGGCCCUAUGGGGCGCAGCAGGCGAGAAACCUUAGCAAUGUGCGAAAGCACGACUGGGUCAGUCCGAGUGAUUCCUGAUAAAGGAGUCUUUUGCCUGUCCUAAAAGCACAGGUGAAUAAGGGGUGGGCAAGUCUGGUGUCAGCCGCCGCGGUAAUACCAGCACCUCGAGUGGUCAGGACGUUUAUUGGGCCUAAAGCAUCCGUAGCCGGCUCUGCAAGUCUUCGGUUAAAUCCACCUGCUCAACAGAUGGGCUGCUGGAGAUACUACAGAGCUAGGGAGUGGGAGAGGCAGACGGUAUUCAGUGGGUAGGGGUAAAAUCCUCUGAUCCAUUGAGGACCACCAGUGGCGAAGGCGGUCUGCCAGAACACGUUCGACGGUGAGGGAUGAAAGCUGGGGGAGCAAACCGGAUUAGAUACCCGGGUAGUCCCAGCUGUAAACGAUGCAAACUCGGUGAUGCAUUGGCUUAUGGCCAAUGCAGUGCCGCAGGGAAGCCGUUAAGUUUGCCGCCUGGGAAGUACGGACGCAAGUCUGAAACUUAAAGGAAUUGGCGGGGGAGCACCACAAGGGGUGAAGCCUGCGGUUCAAUUGGACUCAACGCCGGGAA
rnacentral:rRNA from 1 species